CAAUGUGGCCGAAUCUCAAAUCAAAAACUGAUCUCUGCACAUCUCAGAAGCUAAGCAGGGCUGGGCCUGGUUAGUUCUUGGAGGAGAGACCUCUGGAAAUACCAGGUGCCACAGUGA
rnacentral:rRNA from 1 species